GAUGAACGCUAGCGGGAGGCCUAACACAUGCAAGCCGAGCGGUAUUUGUUCUUCGGAACAGAGAGAGCGGCGCACGGGUGCGGAACACGUGUGCAACCUGCCUUUAUCUGGGGGAUAGCCUUUCGAAAGGAAGAUUAAUACCCCAUAAUAUAUUGAGUGGCAUCACUUGAUAUUGAAAACUCCGGUGGAUAGAGAUGGGCACGCGCAAGAUUAGAUAGUUGGUGAGGUAACGGCUCACCAAGUCAAUGAUCUUUAGGGGGCCUGAGAGGGUGAUCCCCCACACUGGCACUGAGACACGGACCAGACUCCUACGGGAGGCAGCAGUGAGGAAUAUUGGACAAUGGGUUAGCGCCUGAUCCAGCCAUCCCGCGUGAAGGACGACGGCCCUAUGGGUUGUAAACUUCUUUUGUAUAGGGAUAAACCUACUCUCGUGAGAGUAGCUGAAGGUACUAUACGAAUAAGCACCGGCUAACUCCGUG
rnacentral:rRNA from 1 species